AUGAAACUGUUGUCACCAGACCACAAAAAGUACAUCAUAUCAGAAACCAGUCUUGGCGGUCUAACCCAGAUGCAUGAAGUGACUCUACGGCGCAUAAUGUUGGUUAGACUAGCCAAGAGCAUAGAUAUGGACACCCAAUCCAUUACCAUCGGAAAAACGCCAAUUCCUAUAACAAAAGAGGACGUGCAGUGUAUAUUUGGCAUUCCGAUAGAAGGGGAGGAUAUAGAGCCACAUCUGGAAAUGCAAACCGACACAGAAUUGUUUACCGCCUAUGCAAACAAUGGGCAAAUUUUGAUUUCUGACCUUGAAACGGCGAUCUGA
rnacentral:rRNA from 1 species